GGAGACAUGCCUGAACUAAAGGAUUACUUUGAUAGAGUAUAUUAUGGGGGUUAAAGUCCCCCUCUCUCCU
rnacentral:tRNA from 1 species